rnacentral:rRNA from 1 species
UACGAAGGGGGCUAGCGUUGUUCGGAAUCACUGGGCGUAAAGCGCACGUAGGCGGAUGUGUCAGUCAGGGGUGAAAUCCCGGGGCUCAACCUCGGAACUGCCUCUGAUACAGCACGUCUUGAGUCCGGAAGAGGUGGGUGGAAUUCCUAGUGUAGAGGUGAAAUUCGUAGAUAUUAGGAAGAACACCGGUGGCGAAGGCGACCCACUGGUCCGGUACUGACGCUGAGGUGCGAAAGCGUGGGGAGCAAACAGG